UGGCUCAGAGCGAACGCUGGCGGCAGGCUUAACACAUGCAAGUCGAGCGGGCGUAGCAAUACGUCAGCGGCAGACGGGUGAGUAACGCGUGGGAACGUACCUUUUGGUUCGGAACAACACAGGGAAACUUGUGCUAAUACCGGAUAAGCCCUUACGGGGAAAGAUUUAUCGCCGAAAGAUCGGCCCGCGUCUGAUUAGCUAGUUGGUGAGGUAAUGGCUCACCAAGGCGACGAUCAGUAGCUGGUCUGAGAGGAUGAUCAGCCACAUUGGGACUGAGACACGGCCCAAACUCCUACGGGAGGCAGCAGUGGGGAAUAUUGGACAAUGGGGGCAACCCUGAUCCAGCCAUGCCGCGUGAGUGAUGAAGGCCCUAGGGUUGUAAAGCUCUUUUGUGCGGGAAGAUAAUGAC
rnacentral:rRNA from 1 species